ensembl:lncRNA novel transcript
GGCGCUCCAGGAAGGUGUUGAGCAGACGCUGGUCAAACUCGUUGUCCACGCGCCCGCCAUAAAUGGACUGGGCCAUUAAGGUCUUUAGUGCAGACCACGGGAUCUUAUCCGAACCACCGCAAAGCUUUAUCCUUCUGAUACAAAAUGAAGUCUUACAAAGUUGAAAACUAAAGGCAGCCCCCAAAAAGGAAUUCACUCUUGAAUGCAGUGUUUCAAGAAUUCAAAGGCCAACACCAACCUGGACCAGAAGGGGGUUACCGAAUCUCAGUGCACUCUCUAAGUUCUUUCUGAAGGCGUCAUCCAGGAAGCUGGUCCGUGUGAUCUUACGAUCCUUAUAUUCAUUCAUAAUGAAUUCUGUGGCCUGUCCAGAGGGGUCAAUGAUCAGCGGAUACCUGAGGAUGAGGCCACAGAAGAGAAGGUUGAAACACCGAAUGGGGAAAGCACAGGAUCACGGUUAGCCGAGUCCCUGAUGAGAGACCCUGAUUGAUAGGCUGUUACCACCACCCGAGAGUGGUUUCCGGAGACGUUUUCAGGUUUACCAAUAAAGCUUACAUGCUUAAUGCUAA